UACAGAGGUCCCAAGCGUUGUUCGGAUUCAUUGGGCGUAAAGGGUGCGUAGGCGGCGCGGUAAGUCGGGUGUGAAAUCUCGGAGCUUAACUCCGAAACUGCAUUCGAUACUGCCGUGCUUGAGGACUGGAGAGGAGACUGGAAUUUACGGUGUAGCGGUGAAAUGCGUAGAUAUCGGGAGGAACACCUGUGGCGAAAGCGGCUCACUGGACCAUAACUGACGCUGAGGCACGAAAGCGUGGGGAGCAAACAGG
rnacentral:rRNA from 1 species